AAGCCCAUGUCUUCCGACUGUAAUCCAAUUCUUCUGACAUGAAUCUCCCAAUUCUCCUAACUUAAUCCCAUUCCUCCUGACAUUAAUCCCAUUCUCCUAACAUUAAAUCCCAGUACUCCUACUUGAAUCCUACUUUCUCCUGACAUUAAUACCAUUCCUGGACAUUAAUCCCAUUCUCCUGACUUUUUAAUUAAUACCAAUUCCCUGACAUAAUCCCAUUCUCCUACAUUAAUCCCAUUCUCCUAAAAUUAAUCCCAUUCUCCUAAAAUUAAUCCCAUUCUCCUAACAUUAAUCCCAUUCUCCUUGACAAUUAAUAUAUCCCAUUCUCUAACAUUAA
rnacentral:lncRNA from 1 species